CUUCCAGGUGUUUCCUUAUUCUCCACCUCAGCUGUGGCAGGUGGGGAAGUUAGGAUGGGCAGAGCUGGGUUGGGUGAACCUGCCCUCAAGCUCCACAAUUGCUGUUAGCUGGGGUCAAAGCCCAAAGUGUCAGCUGUGUCCCCUAGACUGAGAGGCCAUAAUUUCUGCUUGUCAACCGCGUGUGCUGAGGGCCCUGAGGAGCUGCUGCUGACUGGGCUGCUUGCAGAGACCAACGGAGGUCUACCCUGUGCCCCGAGGUGAGGCCACCUGAAUGCAGAAGGAAGCUGGAUGAACAUAUUUUUUUAUUAGCCCAUGAGAUCAUGAGCUGCCGGGAAUGCAUUGCCACCGAAGGCACUUUCUGAGUGUGGCCGUUGAGGUCCCUGCUGUGGUUCUUCCCGAAGCGGAAAGGGUGAACUACGAAGCAUGAGGAAGCCGGUUGAAAAGUGACUUUGAUGAAUGUUAAGCAUUGUUCUCUCCAGCCUACAGAUCAAAGCAGCCCGGUUGAUUUUACCAGAUUUCGCAAGAGAGCAGAGGCUUCGAGUGGCAGAUGCCCUUUUCAAAGAUGGCUGCAACAGGAGUGCCCAUGCCACAUGCUUGUGUACAGUGGGACCCUGCCAUGCUGCGUUAAGAGGUGGCAUCAAAUUCCUUUCCUCAUGAAUCUGGCCUGGCUUGUGACUGCUUCGACCAACAGAGUCUGGCAGAAGUAAAUUCCUGAAUUCCUUCUUGAAUUCCUGAAUCAUAAAUUAGAGAGCAAAAUAAAAGUUGAUG